AUAUAUUUCUGAUCAAACUGUGAGAUGAUUCUCUCUGAGCUGAUUUACAUGAGAGCUUUCUUAAAGGGAACUGAAACAAUGUGUGAGUGAGUGACUGCUGGAGCAGAAAAAGCAUCUGACAGAAACUCCUUCAAGGACUAAACCAACCGUCUCACAGUCAAGGUGUCCACGUGUGUGAUGUUUGAUUGACAGCUGUGUGCUCCCUGUCCUCUAAGCUGAUUGGUGUCUCCUAGGUGAUGUCCAUCCCACCCUGACGGUGCUGCCCCCCUCCAGUGAGGAGCUGCAGCAGGGGAAGGCCACGCUCAUGUGCCUGGCCAACAAGGGCUUCCCCUCAGACUGGAGUCUGUCCUGGAAGGUGGACGGCAGUAGCAGCAGCAGCAGCAGCAUGAGCUGGGAGGAGAGCAGGAGCCCCGGGGUGCUGGAGAAGGACGGCCACUACAGCUGGAGCAGCACCCUGAGGCUCCCUGCAGACCAGUGGAGGAAGGUGGUCUCUGUGAGCUGUGAGGCCACCCAGGGCUCCCAGACUCCACUCUCAGAGACAUUGAGGAGAGACCAGUGUUCCCAGUCCUGACUCACUCACUGGGACUCUCAUACUGGUCUGACUCUGUUACUGCUCUCUGUUUGCUCUCUCUAAUUCUCUCUUUUUUCUUUAAAUAUUUUUUUCAAACUAAACAAAUAAAACAGCCAUGUCUUCCUCUUCAUAAUGAUAUAGUUCAUGAUUUUCAUGCAAUAAAGCCUUCUGUCUUCAAAUGAGGUGUUUCACAGUCUUAUUAUUUAAUCAAACAUCUUAAUAUUUCAUAAUGUAUUGUAACUUCAGAAAUGAGAAACAAUUCCACAAAUGAACAUUGACAAAGCACACCUGUGAAGUGAAAACUGUUUCAGUUGACUAACUCAUGAAGCUCAAUGACAGAAUGCCAAGAGUGUGAAUGUAAGUAGCAUGUUGAGUGUAAUCAGAGGAAAGGGUGGCAAUUUUGAAGAAUUUAAAAUAUAAAACAUGUUUUGAAUAAUUUCAUUUUUUUUAUUUGUUACAUUUUUCCAUGUGUUCAUUCAUAGCUUUGAUGCCUUC